GGUGAGCCAGACAGGAAGUUCUCAACAAUCCCCAUCCUCUAUUAUAAAGCAUGCAACCAUCUUAUAACACACCCAGAUGUGUGAAGACAGACAGGUACCUUAUGACCCCCACCAGGCGGAUGAGGACAGACAGGUACCUUAUGACCCCCCCAGGCGGAUGAAGACAGACAGGUACCUUCUUUGCGCAUCCCCACCCUGAAACACUUCUUCAGCCGGCAGAACUGGCACUGGUU